GUCGUACGAAGCGACCCAUUGAUAUUUUGUGCUUGCACAGAAUUGAUUUGGAUUCUCGCUUAGUGGCGCAAGGGUGAGUAACACGUGGGUUAUCUGCCUCAGAGACUGGGAUAACAAUUGGAAACGAUUGCUAAUACCGGAUGAUAUGUAAGACGAUACGUUGUCUUAUAUUAAAAGGAGCCUUUAAAGCUUCACUUUGAGAUGAGCCUGCGGCGUAUUAGCUAGUUGGUGGGGUAAUGGCCUACCAAGGCAACGAUGCGUAGCCGACCUGAGAGGGUGAUCGGCCACACUGGGACUGAGACACGGCCCAGACUCCUACGGGAGACAGCAGUUAGGAAUAUUCGUCAAUGGGGGAAACCCUGAACGAGCAAUGCCGCGUGAGUGAUGACGGUCCUUUGGAUUGUAAAACUCUGUUGUUAGGGAAGAACGACCUAUGUAGGAAAUGACAUAGGAGUGACGGUACCUUUCAAGAAAGCUCCGGCUAACUACGUGCCAGCAGCCGCGGUAAUACGUAGGGAGCGAGCGUUAUCCGGAUUUAUUGGGUGUAAAGCGUGUGUAGGCGGUUUAUUAAGUCUAAGGUUUAAGCCUGGAGCUCUACUCCAGUUCGCCUUAGAAACUGAUUUACUUGA
rnacentral:rRNA from 1 species